UCUGCUCUUAUUGUGGUUGCAUUUCUGGGACAAUCCCUAGCCACAUGAAGCUAGAGAAAUGCAGUUGCAUGGAGAAAGCAUGCAAAAAAGUGGUCUUGUGUGCUUGGAAAUCUAAUUUUCACAUUCAGAAAAGACAGCAGCAGGGUGCUCCAAUAGAAGUGGCAAAGACAAAACCCUGAACUAAACUGGCCACAGCCACACAGAGCAGCCCAAGCUGGCAAGAGCAUUGCAGAAUAUCAAGAAGGGACCACACAGAAAACCUAAUUGCCUUCUCAUGGCUGAGAAACAAGGAAA